UACGUAGGGGGCAAGCGUUGUCCGGAUUCAUUGGGCGUAAAGAGCGUGUAGGCGGCCAGGUAGGUCGGUUGUGAAAACUGGAGGCUCAACCUUCAGAGGUCGACCGAAACCAUCUGGCUAGAGUCCGGGAGAGGAGAGUGGAAUUCCUGGUGUAGCGGUGAAAUGCGCAGAUAUCUGGAGGAACACCGGUGGCGAAGGCGGCAUCCUGGACCGAGAUUGACGCUGAGGCGCGAAAGCCAGGGGAGCAAACGGG
rnacentral:rRNA from 1 species